rnacentral:sRNA from 1 species
AGUGAGUGCAGUGGUGUUUACAGUUCGUUGAUCAUAACCACUUACAGAAUUCUUUUGCUCCUUCUCCACUCCCACUGUUUUACUUGACAAGCCUGUA